CGCCUGCGGGCAUUUUGGUCAACUUACAAAGAUACAGAGAAGAUUAGCAUGGCCCCUGCACUAAGGAUGACACGCUCAAUCAAAGAGAAGCUACCAAUUUUU
rnacentral:snRNA from 1 species